rnacentral:ncRNA from 1 species
UUAUAUUACCGAAAGAGAAAUCUUUGUCAGGUCGAUAGUUAGAUUACGAUUUUAUUAAUUAAGCGUGCUACUUUGUACGCCGUACUAACUGGGAAAGAGCCGUAUGGCUCUUUUUCAUUUUUUU